CGCUUUCCGGGGCGGGGCCGGGGGGGGGGGCGGGAGCGCAGCUCUGCUCCCAGCCUCCUCUCCUCCCUCACGUGGUCUGGUGACCAGUCACAUGCCCGCCCGCCUGCCUGGGGGAGAAGUUGGUGAGUGGGCGCACCUCCACUAGGCUCCCAGCACAGCUGUGCCUCCGGCAGUACAGACUGCCCACUUGUGUGGGUUCGGAUCGCACAGCGUGGAGCCAAUCCCACCAGGCUGGGCGAGCAUGCCCGGAGAGUUAGCCAAGUCAGGGCCUGGGAGGAAUUCUGCCCUGACUCUGCAAGAGCCAAGGAGACCAAGCGGACGAGAGAAGAUUCAGCUUCGGGUCGCAGAGAGGUGUACGGCAUGCCCAUGGUUGGUUUCCCUUUUAUACAUUUCACGGCGUGUGCAUUGUAAUACGCACGGUUCUAUCAGGUAGGACCAGAGUAAGAGACUAGAUUAAAAAAAAAAAAAAAAGACUGAAUCGAGAGUUCGAGUCAUGCACGUGGAGCCUGGUAGUGAGCUGUUUGGAGCAGGGACAGCUGUCGUUUCUGAUGCUCUGACAUCGUCAACAAGUGGCUUCCACUUCCUUCUCUACUGCGACCUCGUGGCCCAGGCAGUAUGUCUACGUUCUGGGCAGCGGAAGAAGAAGGAAACAACUGCACACCACUGCACACCUGCCCCCGGGACAGUUCUUGAAAUGACACCCCACUCUGGCAUCCCAUUGGGUAGAAUUGAGUCAUAUGACCACAACUAGCUGCAAAGGUUUCUGGGAAGUGUAGUCUAUUCUGGCAGAAUUGUGCUGUGGCAAGUGGUGGGACAAGGCCUUAAUUACAGGGACCUUUGUCCAACUGACACGCUGAAAAUUGGCCCCGGGGAUGAUUCAGCAGCAAUCACUUCCAGAGAAAAACCCUAUCUGGGAUGACGUCAUCUCACGCCACACCCACCGUUCCUGCUCGCCUCUCCUCUCCAGAAGCCCAGUCCCAUCUGUGGAGCUCCGAGUUGCCAUCUGCAUUGUGACAAAUAUGCAUUUUAUUACUGAAAUAGCAUUCCUGCGCCCAACGGUGCCCUCAGCACUCCACAUUUAAUAGCACUUAGAAAAGGAAGAAAUCCCAGCCCCGGGGAUGACCAAGGGCAUACAUACCGCGAGCUCUGUCUGCCGUGUCCUGUAUCCGGAGCUGGAUAUUUUAUCUCUGCACACCACGAAUAUUUAGACUCUGAGGCAAAGAGAUUGGUUUAACUUGAUCACUGGAAAUCCAGGCACAUGGCGAGUGUGGCUAUGCAGGAAGCUUACAGAGUAUGGAGAAAAAAGUGCCCAAGACGGACCGGGCAUCUGUGCAGGGCCUGGAUUGAAGACCCCAAUUCACCAGCCACCCCCUUUUCCCUGACCAAUAAUACCAGGCAAGUGCUUGUGAGAGGCACCCUUAUCUUCAUCUACUAAUUUUGGUUUUCCUUGCUACUUCAGGAGAGAGCCAUUUUAUUUCUGUCAUCUAAUUUUGAAGAGCAGUGG
rnacentral:lncRNA from 1 species